CUAUGGGGUGGGGUCUCUAUGGGUGGGAUUCUUAUGGGGUAGCUAUGGGGGGGGGUCCCUAUGGGGUGGGAGCCCCUAUGGGGUGGGGUCUCUAUGGGGUGGGGGCCCUUAUGGGGUGGCUAUGGGAUGGGGUCCCUACGGGGUGGGGUCUCUAUGGGGUGUUGGCCCCUAUGGGGUCACUAUGGGGUGGGGUCCCUAUUGGGUGGUUAUGGGGCAGGGGACUCUAUGGGGUCGCUAUGGGGUCGCUAUGGGGCUGCUAUGGGGCAGGGGUCCUUAUGGGGUCCUUAUGGGGUCCUUAUGGGGUCGGUAUGGGGCUGCUAUGUGGUCCUUAUGGGGUGGUGGUUGCUAUGGGGUCCCUAUAGAGUCGCUGUGGGGUGGGAGUCACUAUAGGGUGGGGCCGCUAUGGGGCCGCUAUGGGGUGUGACUGCCUGUAGGGUGGGGUCGCUAUGGGGCCACUAUGGGGUGGGGGUCCCUAUAGGGUGGGGUCGCUAUGGGGCCGCUAUGGGAUGGGGAUUCCUAUAUGGUGGGGUCGCUAUGGGGCUGCUAUGGGAUGGGGAUCCCUAUAGGGUGGGGUCGCUAUAG
ensembl:lncRNA